rnacentral:rRNA from 1 species
UACCGAGGGUGCAAGCGUUGUUCGGAAUUAUUGGGCGUAAAGGGCGCGUAGGCGGUGCUGUAAGUCUGUAGUGAAAUCUCUGGGCUCAACUCAGAGUCUGCUAUAGAAACUGCAGUGCUGGAGUGUGGGAGAGGUGAGUGGAAUUCCCGGUGUAGCGGUGAAAUGCUUAGAUAUCGGGAGGAACACCUGUGGCGAAAGCGGCUCACUGGACCACAACUGACGCUGAGGCGCGAAAGCUAGGGGAGCAAACAGG